rnacentral:rRNA from 1 species
UGGGGAAUAUUGCACAAUGGGCGCAAGCCUGAUGCAGCGACGCCGCGUGAGGGAUGACGGGCCUUCGGGUUGAUAACCUCUUUCAGUAGGGAAGAAGCGAAAGUGACGGUACCUGCAGAAGAAGCGCCGGCUAACUACGUGCCAGCAGCCGCGGUAAUACGUAGGGCGCAAGCGUUAUCCGGAAUUAUUGGGCGUAAAGAGCUCGUAGGCGGUUUGUCGCGUCUGCCGUGAAAGUCCGGGGCUCAACUCCGGAUCUGCGGUGGGUACGGGCAGACUAGAGUGAUGUAGGGGAGACUGGAAUUCCUGGUGUAGCGGUGAAAUGCGCAGAUAUCAGGAGGAACACCGAUGGCGAAGGCAGGUCUCUGGGCAUUAACUGACGCUGAGGAGCGAAAGCAUGGGGAGCGAACA